UAAUACUAGGGGUGCAAGCGUUGUCCGGAAUCAUUGGGCGUAAAGGGUGCGUAGGCGUCCAGGAAAGUUAUUUGUUAAAUCCUUCGGCUUAACCGAAGAAAUGCAAGUAAAACUAUCUGGAUAGAGUUUAAGAGAGGAAAAUGGAAUUCCUGGUGUAGCGGUGACAUGCGUAGAUAUCAGGAGGAACACCUAUGGCGAAGGCAGUUUUCUGGCUUAAAACUGACGCUGAGGCACGAAAGCGUGGGGAGCAAACAGGAUUAGAUACCCUGGUAGUCCACGCCGUAAACGAUGAGUACUUGGUGCCGGAGGAUUCGACCCCCUCGGUGCCGUAGCUAACGCGUUAAGUACUCCGCCUGGGGACUACGACCGCAAGGUUG
rnacentral:rRNA from 1 species